rnacentral:rRNA from 1 species
GCGAGAAAACUUUGCAAUGUGCGAAAGCACGACAAGGUUAAUCCGAGUGGUUUCUGCUAAAGAAACCUUUUGUCAGUCCUAGAAACACUAACGAAUAAGGGGUGGGCAAGUUCUGGUGUCAGCCGCCGCGGUAAAACCAGCACCUCAAGUGGUCAGGAUGAUUAUUGGGCCUAAAGCAUCCGUAGCUCGUUUUGUAAGUUUUCGGUUAAAUCCAUACGCUUAACGUAUGGGCUGCCGGGAAUACUGCAUAACUAGGAAGUGGGAGAGGUAGACGGUACUCGGUAGGAAGGGGUAAAAUCCUUUGAUCUAUUGAUGACCACCUGUGGCGAAGGCGGUCUACCAGAACACGUUCGACGGUGAGGGAUGAAAGCUGGGGGAGCAAACCGGAUUAGAUACCCUUGUAGUCCCUGAGCGGGCUGGCAAGGCGCAU